GAUGAAGAACGUAGCGAAAUGCGAUAAGUAGUGUGAAUUGCAGAAUUCAGUGAAUCAUCGAAUCUUUGAACGCACAUUGCGCCCUUUGGUAUUCCAAAGGGCAUGCCUGUUCGAGCGUCAUUUGUACCCUCAAGCUUUGCUUGGUGUUGGGCGUCUUGUCUCUAGCUUUGCUGGAGACUCGCCUUAAAGUAAUUGGCAGCCGGCCUACUGGUUUCGGAGCGCAGCACAAGUCGCACUCUCUAUCAGCAAAGGUCUAGCAUCCAUUAAGCCUUUUUUUUCAACUUUUGACCUCGGAUCAGGUAGGGAUACCCGCUGAACUUAAGCAUAUCAAUAAGCGGAGA
rnacentral:misc_RNA from 1 species